ACGCUGGCGGCACGCCUAAUACAUGCAAGUCGAACGAAGUAGCAAUACUUAGUGGCAGACGGGUGAGUAAUAUGUAGGUAUCUUCCCAUUGGUGAGGAAUAACACGAGGAAACUUGUGCUAAUACCUCAUAAGUCUUUACGGAGAAAGCUUUAUGCGCCGAUGGAUGAGCCUGCACUUGAUUAGUUUGUUGGUAGGGUAAUGGCCUACCAAGACAAUGAUCAAUAGCUGAUUUGAGAGGAUGAUCAGCCACAUUGGGACUGAGACACGGCCCAAACUCCUACGGGAGGCAGCAGUAGGGAAUCUUGCACAAUGGGGGAAACCCUGAUGCAGCGAUGCCGCGUGAGUGAAGAAGGCCUUUGGGUUGUAAAGCUCUUUCGUCGGGGAAGAAAAUGACUGUACCCGAAUAAGAAGGUCCGGCUAACUUCGUGCCAGCAGCCGCGGUAAUACGAAGGGACCUAGCGUAGUUCGGAAUUACUGGGCUUAAAGAGUUCGUAGGUGGUUAAAAAAGUUGGUGGUGAAAUCCCAGAGCUUAACUCUGGAACUGCCAUCAAAACUUUUUAGCUAGAGUAUGAUAGAGGAAAGCAGAAUUUCUAGUGUAGAGGUGAAAUUCGUAGAUAUUAGAAAGAAUACCGAUUGCGAAGGCAGCUUUCUGGAUCAUUACUGACACUGAGGAACGAAAGCAUGGGUAGCGAAGAGGAUUAGAUACCCUCGUAGUCCAUGCCGUAAACGAUGUGUGUUAGACGUUGGAAAUUUAUUUUCUGUGUCGCAGCGAAAGCAAUAAACACACCGCCUGGGGAGUACGACCGCAAGGUUAAAACUCAAAUGAAUUGACGGGGACCCGCACAAGUAGUGGAGCAUGUGGUUUAAUUCGAAGAUACGCGCAGAACCUUACCAACACUUGACAUGUUCGUCGCGACUUUAAGAGAUUAAAGUUUUCGGUUCGGCCGGACGAAACACAGGUGCUGCAUGGCUGUCGUCAGCUCGUGUCGUGAGAUGUUGGGUUAAGUCCCGCAACGAGCGCAACCCUCACUUUUAGUUGCCAUCAUUUAGUUGGGCACUCUGAAAGAACUGCCAGUGAUAAGCUGGAGGAAGGUGGGGAUGACGUCAAGUCCUCAUGGCCCUUACGUGUUGGGCUACACACGUGCUACAAUGGCAUUUACAAUAGGAAGCAAGACGGCGACGUUUAGCAAAUCCUAAAAAAAUGCCUCAGUUCGGAUUGUACUCUGCAACUCGAGUACAUGAAGCUGGAAUUACUAGUAAUCGCGGAUCAGCGCGCCGCGGUGAAUACGUUCCCGGGUCUUGUACACACCGCCCGUCACACCAUGGGAGUUGGUUCUACCUUAAGGCAAAGUUUAAUACCUUUGACCACGGUAUAGUCAGCGACUGGGGUGAAGUCAUAACAAGGUAGCCGUA
rnacentral:rRNA from 1 species